rnacentral:rRNA from 1 species
CACGUAGGGGGCAAGCGUUGUCCGGAUUUAUUGGGCGUAAAGAGCUCGUAGGCGGCUUAGUAAGUCGGGUGUGAAACCUCCAGGCUCAACCUGGAGACGCCACCCGAUACUGCUGUGGCUAGAGUCCGGUAGGGGAGCGUGGAAUUCCUGGUGUGAGCGGUGAAAUGCGUAGAUAUCAGCAGGAACACCCGUGGCGAAGGCGGCUUCCUGGGCCGCCCCUGACGCUGAGGCGCGAAAGCGUGGGGAGCGAACGGG